GACGAACGCUGGCGGCGUGCUUAACACAUGCAAGUCGAGCGGAAAGGCCCUUUCGGGGGUACUCGAGCGGCGAACGGGUGAGUAACACGUGAGUAAUCUGCCUCUGGCUUCGGGAUAGCCACCGGAAACGGUGAUUAAUACCGGAUAUGACGCAUCACUGCAUGGUGUGUGCGUGGAAAGUUUUUUCGGCCAGGGAUGUGCUCGCGGCCUAUCAGCUUGUUGGUGGGGUAAUGGCCUACCAAGGCUUCGACGGGUAGCCGGCCUGAGAGGGUGUCCGGCCACACUGGGACUGAGACACGGCCCAGACUCCUACGGGAGGCAGCAGUGGGGAAUAUUGGACAAUGGGCGGAAGCCUGAUCCAGCAACGCCGCGUGAGGGAUGACGGCCUUCGGGUUGUAAACCUCUUUCAGCACAGACGAAGCGCAAGUGACGGUAUGUGCAGAAGAAGGACCGGCCAACUACGUGCCAGCCGCCGCAGUAAAAC
rnacentral:rRNA from 1 species